rnacentral:tRNA from 1 species
UGGGGUGUGGCUCAGCGGUAGAGCGCUCGACUGGCACGUGUGGGGCACUGGGUUCGAGCCUUAGCACCAUAU